AUAAUAUUUUAAUUUUUCGCGCAAUUUUUAAUGUACGCAUGCGCCAUAUUCCAGCCAAUCAGAUCACUUCUUGGUGGCGCGUCCCGCCAUUUUUCCGGUGGUAGUGAUCGCAGGAGGACGUUUCGCCGGUUCGAGACAUAUAAAGUGUGCCUAUAAAGUGUAUUUUUCUGUGUUUUGUUAUUAAAUUAUUGUGUGUUUCUCUUGUUUAAGGAUCCAUUCAACAAUAGUGAAGAUUAUCAUUUAAUAACGAGGAUGACUUCGGAUUUCCAUACGAUGGAUUUGCAGCUAUGACGUCAUCGAACGAUUCUACGACGCCAUUCGAAAUAUUUUCCAUAAAUCAGAAUAAUUGGUAGCAACGUGAUAGGAUUCGAAAACUAAGAAGUUCCAAUAUGGACGCCAUGGAAACGCG